rnacentral:rRNA from 1 species
AGACCCGAAACCCGGUGAUCUAGCCAUGGGCAGGUUGAAGGUUGGGUAACACUAACUGGAGGACCGAACCGACUAAUGUUGAAAAAUUAGCGGAUGACCUGUGGCUGGGGGUGAAAGGCCAAUCAAACCGGGAGAUAGCUGGUUCUCCCCGAAAGCUAUUUAGGUAGCGCCUCGUGAAUUCAUCUCCGGGGGUAGAGCACUGUUUCGGCUAGGGGGCCAUCCCGGCUUACCAACCCGAUGCAAACUGCGAAUACCGGAGAAUGUUAUCACGGGAGACACACGGCGGGUGCUAACGUCCGUCGUGAAGAGGGAAACAACCCAGACCGCCAGCUAAGGUCCCAAAGUCAUGGUUAAGUGGGAAACGAUGUGGGAAGGCCCAGACAGCCAGGAUGUUGGCUUAGAAGCAGCCAUCAUUUAAAGAAAGCGUAAUAGCUCACUGGUCGAGUCGGCCUGCGCGGAAGAUGUAACGGGGCUAAACCAUGCACCGAAGCUGCGGCAGCGACACUAUGUGUUGUUGGGUAGGGGAGCGUUCUGUAAGCCUGCGAAGGUGGCCUGUGAGGGUUGCUGGAGGUAUCAGAAGUGCGAAUGCUGACAUAAGUAACGAUAAAGCGGGUGAAAAGCCCGCUCGCCGGAAGACCAAGGGUUCCUGUCCAACGUUAAUCGGGGCAGGGUGAGUCGACCCCUAAGGCGAGGCCGAAAGGCGUAGUCGAUGGGAAACGGGUUAAUAUUCCCGUACUUGGUGUUACUGCGAAGGGGGGACGGAGAAGGCUAUGUUGGCCGGGCGACGGUUGUCCCGGUUUAAGCGUGUAGGUGUGUGUUCCAGGUAAAUCCGGUUCACUUUAACACUGAGGCGUGACGACGAGGCACUACGGUGCUGAAGCAACAAAUGCCCUGCUUCCAGGAAAAGCCUCUAAGCAUCAGGUAACAUCAAAUCGUACCCCAAACCGACACAGGUGGUCAGGUAGAGAAUACCAAGGCGCUUGAGAGAACUCGGGUGAAGGAACUAGGCAAAAUGGUGCCGUAACUUCGGGAGAAGGCACGCUGACACGUAGGUGAAGUGAUUUACUCACGGAGCUGAAGUCAGUCGAAGAUACCAGCUGGCUGCAACUGUUUAUUAAAAACACAGCACUGUGCAAACACGAAAGUGGACGUAUACGGUGUGACGCCUGCCCGGUGCCGGAAGGUUAAUUGAUGGGGUCAGCGCAAGCGAAGCUCCUGAUCGAAGCCCCGGUAAACGGCGGCCGUAACUAUAACGGUCCUAAGGUAGCGAAAUUCCUUGUCGGGUAAGUUCCGACCUGCACGAAUGGCGUAAUGAUGGCCAGGCUGUCUCCACCCGAGACUCAGUGAAAUUGAACUCGCUGUGAAGAUGCAGUGUACCCGCGGCAAGACGGAAAGACCCCGUGAACCUUUACUAUAGCUUGACACUGAACAUUGAGCCUUGAUGUGUAGGAUAGGUGGGAGGCUUUGAAGCGUGGACGCCAGUCUGCGUGGAGCCGACCUUGAAAUACCACCCUUUAAUGUUUGAUGUUCUAACGUGGACCCGUGAUCCGGGUUGCGGACAGUGUCUGGUGGGUAGUUUGACUGGGGCGGUCUCCUCCUAAAGAGUAACGGAGGAGCACGAAGGUUGGCUAAUCCUGGUCGGACAUCAGGAGGUUAGUGCAAUGGCAUAAGCCAGCUUGACUGCGAGCGUGACGGCGCGAGCAGGUGCGAAAGCAGGUCAUAGUGAUCCGGUGGUUCUGAAUGGAAGGGCCAUCGCUCAACGGAUAAAAGGUACUCCGGGGAUAACAGGCUGAUACCGCCCAAGAGUUCAUAUCGACGGCGGUGUUUGGCACCUCGAUGUCGGCUCAUCACAUCCUGGGGCUGAAGUAGGUCCCAAGGGUAUGGCUGUUCGCCAUUUAAAGUGGUACGCGAGCUGGGUUUAGAACGUCGUGAGACAGUUCGGUCCCUAUCUGCCGUGGGCGCUGGAGAACUGAGGGGGGCUGCUCCUAGUACGAGAGGACCGGAGUGGACGCAUCACUGGUGUUCGGGUUGUCAUGCCAAUGGCACUGCCCGGUAGCUAAAUGCGGAAGAGAUAAGUGCUGAAAGCAUCUAAGCACGAAACUUGCCCCGAGAUGAGUUCUCCCUGAGACUUUA